GUGUCAGCAGCCGCGGUAAUACGGGGGGGGCAAGCGUUGUUCGGAAUUACUGGGCGUAAAGGGCUCGUAGGCGGCCAACUAAGUCAGACGUGAAAUCCCUCGGCUCAACCGGGGAACUGCGUCUGAUACUGGAUGGCUUGAAUCCGGAAGAGGGAUGCGGAAUUCCAGGUGUAGCGGUGAAAUGCGUAGAUAUCUGGAGGAACACCGGUGGCGAAGGCGGCAUCCUGGGUCGGUAUUGACGCUGAGGAGCGAAAGCCAGGGGAGCAAACGGGAUUAGAUACCCCAGUAGUCC
rnacentral:rRNA from 1 species